GAUGAACGCUGGCGGCGUGCUUAACACAUGCAAGUCGAACGGAAAGGCCCACUCUCGCUUGGGGACUCGAGUGGCGAACGGGGGGGUCGCACGUGGGUGAUCUGCCUUGCACUCCGGGAAAAGCGUUGGAAACUGGGUCUAAUGCCGGUUAUGACCACUUCUUGUGUGUUGUGGUGGAAAGUUUUUUCGGUGUGGGCUGAGCGCGCGGCCUAUCAGCUGGUGCGUGGGGUCUUGGCCUACCGAGGCGUCGACGGGUAGCCGGCCUGAGAGAGUGGACGGGCGCAUUGGGCCUGAGACCCGGGCCAGACUGCUGCGGGGGGCAGCGGUGGGGGAGCGUGCACAAGGGGCGCCGGCCUGAUGCAGCGAAGGCGCGUGGGGGAUGAGGGACUUCGGGUUGUACGCUCGGUACGCUACGGGCGAGGCGGUUUGUGACGGUACCUGGAGAAGAAGCACCGGCUAACUACGUG
rnacentral:rRNA from 1 species